rnacentral:lncRNA from 1 species
GUGAUUGACGGUCUUCCUUGGGUGAGCGGUUUCGGUGUGUAUUGUGUUGAAGUGAAGACGCAGCGGGACUAGAGAAUGGAUUGCGGGUAAUCCUGUAGGUCAGGAGAAUCAGGGCGGUGAUCGUGCGGGUUAGAGCAUUUGUUAUAAUUUUACAGCAAUUGUAAUAGUGAGGUGAGUUAAGCUCAUUUGAGCCUUGCAAUUUGAUUUGGUGAGAGUGUGCUGUAAUAAAUAACUUGAGAAUGUGGUUUAUUGUAUUAUUGAGAGGUGUGAAGUGUGGUUGUUUUUGAGAAAAAAAUUCAGGAC